AACAGCCAUUAAAUAAUAUAUAAACAAAUCAUAUUAGUAUAAAAUGACGAAAUCCUAUAGCCUGUUAAAUAUUUGAAAAAUAUAAUCGAAAUGAUUAUUUCAUAAACGAAUGAAUUGAAAUUAUUAUUAUUAUUCUGAUGUACAUAGGAUUUGAUAAUAAUUCUAAAAAUAAUAAUUACCAACCUCAACAAUAUUUUAUUUUCAUUCAAAGCAAAAAAAAAAUAGAUUCACUUUCAUAUGAAUUAUAUAGAAACAGAAAUGCUUAAUAACAUUAUACGAAGACAAUGCGUCGUACGCUUACAGUCUUAUUAUUUUUCUUUUAAUUUCCAAUAACUUGAAAAGCUCAUUUCAAGUGCAUUUCGAACAUGUUCGAUUAAUACUUGUACCUACAAGUAUGUGGGUUAUAGAUUUGCGUAUGAAAAUUGCCUCCACAUCCGACUUCUGAGUCCUAAAUCAACUUUAACUAUGUGCUGUGCACACCCAGACUCAAGGCACAUUGCCAAUUUGUAUUCUUUUUUUAUUUAAUUUCUUUUCUUUCCAAAUGAACUCAAAAAUGUUUUUCUUUGAAAUCGAUGAACAUGCUUAGAAUAUGCAGAAUAGAAAAUAAAAACAAUUUUGAAAACAAAAAUUCAAAUAGCUCUGUACAAAAAACUAAAAUUACAAACAAUCAGACGUAAAUAGAUGAUAGUGAGUCUAGUCGAGUCGACUUGAAGAAGACAAGUGAAGUGAGCCAAGUUCCUUUCACAUGAUAAAGUGACCAAAGAAUAAACGAAUGAACUAUAGGCAAGGCAGGUACAAGUACAAUACGAAAAAAGAAAAUUUUAUUUUUAGAUAUAUUUUUAGUUGUUUACAUUCAUUUUUCUAAACAUUGCUUUUUAUGGCCUUUAAUGUAAACAGACAUUUUUGGCGUUUCAUCUCUGUUGGUAGUAGGUUCUAAUAAAAUUGGCAGUUUACUAUUAGAACUCCUACCAACAUAACACACCAGGGGCCAAAUCAUUAAUUAAUCACGUAUAACAAAUUUUAAUAGGAGAUCUAAUCCGAGCAACUUGAAGAAUUUGUAUCUUUUACAAAAUCAAAGGGCACCGUAGUGCCCAGGCAAGUUCUGGCACUACUUCCUUUUUGUAGGGACAAACUCAAAUGGUUUUCAAACUCCUCUAACUUCAGAUCAAAUUUAACAGGAAGUUCAAAGUUGCAAAACUUACUACACUACUCGAAUUCAUGGAUCUCAAAAUAUUCCAGCUUCAGAGUCAACAGAGUUUUUGAGUUACAGCACUUUAAAAAUUACAAAAACUAUAACUGACUAACUGAUCGAUCAUCAAAAUUAUGAAGAACUUUCCUACAUUGCAGAGUCUUGUUGUGCAAGGAAAAAUAAUAAAUCUCAUAAUUUUGCAGCAGACUUUUUAAAGCAGAACUUGGCUCCUUUUUUUAAAAAAUUAGUUUUUGGUGUAAUCAAUGUUAUCCUGAUAUGUAUGCUGGUGAAAUGUGGAUCACAUGUAUAUUCAUUAAUUAAACGUGUUAAGUAUUACUUUGUUUAGAAGUUAAGAAUUAAAAUUCGAAGUUUCCAUAAAGUUCUUCGUCUGAUUCUGAUUUACUCAUUCAUUUGUUAACUCGUUAGUCAUUUUUGAAAAUGUGGUACUAUAUGUAUUGAAUAUAUUGCAAAAUGUGUCUAGCAUCCAACCUACGUUAAGAUCUGUUUGUAUAAUAAGAGCAAUAAAUUAGAAUAAACUAAAUUUUAAUAAAAGAAAUAAACUUAA